rnacentral:snoRNA from 1 species
CUGCAUGUGAAUGUCGGCUCCUCAUUCCUCUGCAAGACGAAAUCUAUAACAUGCUAGAAUAAUAAAGGAGUUCUCAGGGCUGGCAAUGUUACAGUAACCGUUGAGUAGUAACUGUUUCUCCUACAUUU